GAUGAAGAACGUAGCGAAAUGCGAUAAGUAAUGUGAAUUGCAGAAUUCAGUGAAUCAUCGAAUCUUUGAACGCACAUUGCGCCCGCCAGUAUUCUGGCGGGCAUGCCUGUCUGAGCGUCAUUUCAACCCUCACGCCCCUAGGGCGUGGUGUUGGGGAUCGGCCAAAGCCCGCGAGGGACGGCCGGCCCCUAAAUCUAGUGGCGGACCCGUCGUGGCCUCCUCUGCGAAGUAGUGAUAUUCCGCAUCGGAGAGCGAUGAGCCCCUGCCGUUAAACCCCCAACUUUCCAAGGUUGACCUCAGAUCAGGUAGGAAUACCCGCUGAACUUAAGCAUAUCAUAAGCGGAGGA
rnacentral:misc_RNA from 1 species